rnacentral:rRNA from 1 species
AUUGAACGCUGGCGGCAUGCUUUACACAUGCAAGUCGAACGGUAACAGGCCUUCGGGUGCUGACGAGUGGCGAACGGGUGAGUAAUGCAUCGGAACGUGCCCAGAGGUGGGGGAUAACGCAGCGAAAGCUGUGCUAAUACCGCAUGUGAUCUGAGGAUGAAAGCGGGGGACCACGCAGCAAUGUUUGGCCUCGCGCCUCUGGAGCGGCCGAUGUCAGAUUAGGUAGUUGGUGGGGUAAAGGCCUACCAAGCCGACGAUCUGUAGCUGGUCUGAGAGGACGACCAGCCACACUGGGAUUGAGACACGGCCCAGACUCCUACGGGAGGCAGCAGCGGGGAAUUUUGGACAAUGGGCGCAAGCCUGAUCCAGCAAUGCCGCGUGCGGGAAGAAGGCCUUCGGGUUGUAAACCGCUUUUGUACGGAACGAAAAGGCUCUGGCUAAUACCUGGGGCUGAUGACGGUACCGUAAGAAUAAGCACCGGCUAACUACGUG